GGAGAGGUGGCCGAGUGGUUUAAGGCGCCCGCUUGGAAAGCGUGUUCACAAGCAAUUGUGACGGGGGUUCGAAUCCCUUCCUCUCCUCCA
rnacentral:tRNA from 1 species